CUGAUGCAGCCAUGCCGCGUGUGUGAAGAAGGCCUUCGGGUUGUAAAGCACUUUCAGCAGUGAGGAAGAUGGUAAGCUUAAUACGCUUAUCAUUUGACGUUAGCUGCAGAAGAAGCACCGGCUAACUCCGUGCCAGCAGCCGCGGUAAUACGGAGGGUGCGAGCGUUAAUCGGAAUUACUGGGCGUAAAGCGCAUGCAGGUGGUGAGUUAAGUCAGAUGUGAAAGCCCGGGGCUCAACCUCGGAAUUGCAUUUGAAACUGGCUCACUAGAGUACUGUAGAGGGGGGGUAGAAUUUCAGGUGUAGCGGUGAAAUGCGUAGAGAUCUGAAGGAAUACCAGUGGCGAAGGCGGCCCCCUGGACAGAUACUGACACUCAGAUGCGAAAGCGUGGGGAGCAAACAGGAUUAGAUACCCUGGUAGUCCACGCCGUAAACGAUGUCUACUUGGAGGUUGUGGCCUUGAGCCGUGGCUUUCGGAGCUAACGCGUUAAGUAGACCGCCUGGGGAGUACGGUCGCAAGAUUAAAACUCAAAUGAAUUGACGGGGGCCCGCACAAGCGGUGGAGCAUGUGGUUUAAUUCGAUGCAACGCGAAGAACCUUACCUACUCUUGACAUCCAGAGAACUAGCAGAGA
rnacentral:rRNA from 1 species